CUUCUCUCUAUAUACUUCUUCUCAAAUAUAGUUUUAGUUUUAGUAGUAUAAAAAUACUACUCCGGUUAUUCUUAUACUCCGGGUAGUACACAAAAUGCUUCGGCGAGAAGAAAAGGCUAGGGGUCCAAGAGUGUUCCAAUUCGAAGUAAAGCUUCCGAUUUAAGAUACAAGUGUUAGAGAUCCUCAAUAGGCGCAUCGUUGAAGAUCAUUUCUUUUCGGCUAUUUGGUGAGUCCUUCUUGUAUUCGAAGGAAAUCCUUAUCCUUUUAUUAUUGUUGAGUGUGAUGUUUCUUUUGAGGUAGCCAUGGACAUGUCAUUGGCACCAUCUAAGAGUAUUAGAGGCUUCAUAGACAGAGUUUGAUGAUGUAAUCCGAGUAGUUCUCCUUAGAAACUACUUCUUCUAAGAAUUAUCAUUUUUUUUCUUUUAAUAUUGAUGAUGACAAGCCCACAUUAGUAUU